rnacentral:rRNA from 1 species
AGAAUCAACGCUGGCGGCGUGCCUCAGACAUGCAAGUCGAACGCGAAAGUCCCCUUCGGGGGCAAGUAGAGUGGCGCACGGGUGAGUAACACGUAGGUAAUCUACCUUUGGAUGGGGAAUAACAAUCGGAAACGAUUGCUAAUACCGCAUAAUGCAGCGGCUCGACAUCGAGACAGUUGUUAAAGCGGGGGAUCGCAAGACCUCGCGCCUGAAGAGAAGCCUGCGGCAGAUUAGCUAGUUGGUAGGGUAAUGGCCUACCAAGGCAACGAUCU